rnacentral:lncRNA from 1 species
UGCCCUUUUAUCUACCUUAAACCCCUAAAUCUACCUCUUAAACUCCUAAGAAGCAGUUGAUCGUCGCUCUUAAGGCUUAAGGUGAAGAUGGUGGACGAUAGCUAUUGGGGUUGGAGUAUGACGGUCGGGGAGUCACAAAACAAUUGAGAAGAAGAAAAAUUUGGAUUGAACCAGCCCAGCCGAGCCGAUCGAUCAUAAAGCAGGAAGAGGUGACAGAGUUUCUCCUUCAAUCCACCUAUUAAGAAGUUGGCCUUGGAAAUCAGACACGCGAUGGAUUCUUUAUACUUGGUAAUUGAUUGCAACACAGAUCCUUCAAUCUUCCACUCUGUUCAUAUCUCACGAGUGGGAAGACCAGCCGUAUCUGAUGGGUGCUUGCGUUUCAAGUCAUGAUAAAGCAAGGUACAAGUGUCGUUUGAUUCUACUAACAAUAAACCUGAUCAUAAGCUGGUGGUUUGCUAUUUCUUCAUCACUGCGAUCAUCAUAAUGACUUUGGUUGCCCUUAAAGAUGAGGUGAUUGUAAUAAUGGAUGAACAAUAUGAUUUGAAAAGGUUAAUGGGUUAACCAUAGUCGGCAAAUGUCAUUGAGGAUGAGCCAUUUGAAACUUCACCUAUAUGUUAUCAGGUUCGAAUUUCUCUAUUUCUGUGAAAUUGUUUUGCCGGAUUUUUAGUUGAUGCCGACUUUUGGUAAUAUUGGUUGUUUAGGUUUGGUAGUUUGAAACGUUAAACAAAUCUUACAUGUUGUAAGGGGUGUUUUGAUGUUUUCUAAAUCAGUUUGAACAAGUUGCUUUACAUGCAUAUAACAUGUUCGAUGAAAUGCCUAAAAGAGAGCUUGUGAUGGCUUUUCCCAACUUUUUGAUACUGAUACAGAAGAUUCCUCUAUUUUAUGCUUGAGUAAUUCACAUACGAGGCAAGCUUUUGUUUAAUAUAACGUAGUCAAAGGAUGCCAUAACUCUUUGGGUUACAUUUUAUUUUGUAUUGUGUUGAUGUGUUUCUAUUAGAGGUGGCACUUUCAACCGGUUUAGGAAUAAAGGGGUCGAUGUGGGUUAAGUUUUUCACAAAUGGGUCAAUGGGUCCAUAUUAGAAAUGCGCCUAAAAAGGUGACACGACAAACGGUUAAGUGUAAUUUUGUGCGUACAACUUAAUAAAUAUUUUUUUUUUAAAUGAACGAGGCCAGUGUAGGAUUGUUAAGUGGGUCGUGUCCGCGAGGUUGAACCCGGCUUAAACCUGAAUAUGAGUAUAUGAC